UAUGGUUAUUUUUUUCAUAGAUCUAAUUUUUGUUCUUGAUUUGUCAUUGCAGAUCUGGUAUUGCAACAAAAAGACGAGAUUACGAGGAGAUUCGAAAUAAUAAGGAGGUUUGUUUGGGCCUCUUUCUUACCAAGUUUUGUGUUGGUUUAUUAUUUUAGCUAGAGAUGGUAGAUUAAAGUGUAAAACAAUGUAAUGUAAAUUGAAUUAAUGUAUUAAAACCAUAUUUUUGUUUA